rnacentral:rRNA from 1 species
AGAGUUUGAUCCUGGCUCAGGACGAACGCUGGCGGUGCGCCUUAUGCAUGCAAGUCGAGCGAAGCUUUUCAGUAGUUUACUACAGAAAAUGACUGAGCGGCGAACGGGUGAGUAACGCGUGAGCAAUCUACCUUAGUUACAGGGAUAGCCCGAGGAAACUCGGAUUAAUACCUGAUAUUCUUUACAUUUCGCAUGAAAUCAAAAGGAAAGGUCAGCCGAACUAAGAUGAGCUCGCGUUCUAUCAGCUAGUUGGUGAGGUAAAAGCUCACCAAGGCAACGACGGAUAGCUGGUCUGAGAGGACGAUCAGCCACACUGGGACUGAGACACGGCCCAGACUCCUACGGGAGGCUGCAGCAGGGAAUAUUGCGCAAUGAGCGAAAGCUUGACGCAGCGACACCGCGUGUGGGAUGACGGAUCUAGGUUUGUAAACCACUUUCAGGAGGGAAGAAAAUGACGGUACCUCCACAAGAAGCCCCGGCCAACUACGUGCCAGCAGCCGCGGUAAUACGUAGGGGGCGAGCGUUGUCCGGAUUUAUUGGGCGUAAAGAGCUCGUAGGCGGUUCAACAAGUCGGUCGUAAAAGUUCAGGGCUCAACCCUGAAAUGUCGAUCGAUACUGUUGUGACUAGGAUACGGUAGAGGUGAGUGGAAUUCCGAGUGUAGCGGUGAAAUGCGUAGAUAUUCGGAGGAACACCAAUUGCGAAGGCAGCUCACUGGGCCGCUAUCGACGCUGAGGAGCGAAAGCUAGGGGAGCAAACAGGAUUAGAUACCCUGGUAGUCCUAGCUGUAAACGAUGGAUACUAGACGUAGGAACUGGAUUGACGGUUUCUGUGUCGUAGCUAACGCGUUAAGUAUCCCGCCUGGGGAGUACGGUCGCAAGACUAAAACUCAAAGGAAUUGACGG